rnacentral:rRNA from 1 species
GACGAACGCUGGCGGCGUGCCUAAUACAUGCAAGUCGAACGAGAGCGACCGGUGCUUGCACUGGUCAAUCUAGUGGCGAACGGGUGAGUAACACGUGGGUAACCUGCCCAUCAGAGGGGGAUAACAUUCGGAAACGGAUGCUAAAACCGCAUAGGUUCUUGAGUCACAUGACUGAAGAAGGAAAAGAGGCUUCGGCUUCUGCUGAUGGAUGGACCCGCGGUGCAUUAGCUAGUUGGUGAGGUAACGGCUCACCAAGGCCGUGAUGCAUAGCCGACCUGAGAGGGUGAUCGGCCACAUUGGGACUGAGACACGGCCCAAACUCCUACGGGAGGCAGCAGUAGGGAAUCUUCCGCAAUGGACGCAAGUCUGACGGAGCAACGCCGCGUGAGUGAAGAAGGAUUUCGGUUCGUAAAACUCUGUUGUUAGAGAAGAACAGCGCAUAGAGUAACUGUUAUGCGUGUGACGGUAUCUAACCAGAAAGCCACGGCUAACUACGUGCCAGCAGCCGCGGUAA